rnacentral:misc_RNA from 1 species
UUUCCGUAGGCGAACCUGCGGAAGGAUCAUUCAUAAUAAGUGUUUUAUGGCACUUUUUUAAAUCCAUAUCCACCUUGUGUGCAAUGUCAGGGUUGAUUUUUCUCUCGAGAGGAUCAACCCCAAACAUCAACUAUAUCUCAACUCUUUGUCUGAAAAAUAUUAUGAAUAAAACAAUUCAAAAUACAACUUUCAACAACGGAUCUCUUGGCUCUC